GCGGGUGUCGCCAAGUGGUAAGGCAGUAGUUUUCCAAACUACUAUUCCGCGGGUUCGAGCCCCGCCACCCGCU
rnacentral:tRNA from 1 species